rnacentral:rRNA from 1 species
UACGAAGGGGGCUAGCGUUGCUCGGAAUUACUGGGUGUAAAGGGCGCGUAGGCGGACAGUUUAGUCAGAGGUGAAAGCCCAGGGCUCAACCUUGGAAUUGCCUUUGAUACUGGCUGUCUUGAGUUCGGGAGAGGUGAGUGGAAUGCCGAGUGUAGAGGUGAAAUUCGUAGAUAUUCGGCGGAACACCAGUGGCGAAGGCGACUCACUGGCCCGAUACUGACGCUGAGGCGGCGAAAAGCGUGGGGAGCAAACAGGG